ensembl:lncRNA
GUUACCAGCUUCCUCUGCAGAGCAGUGAUAGAUGUAUGGACGGGUAGCUGUCCUGCUAGCCAGCUGCAAAAAGCAGUGAGGUACUGGAGUGCUCUGGAAAGAGUUCCCCACCUGGAAGUAACUCAGGCCUGCAGUUGGGAAAGUGCCCUGCAAAGAACCCCACUGUGUGGGAUAAUGACUGCCCUGGGGCUAGACACUGAGCAGUGAGAGUUUCACUAUUCCAAGCCAAAGCCCGUCCUGGGGCUGUGAGUAUUAGCAGCUGAGCAGUGAAUGGCCCUGCAGGGAUUGGAAGUGUCUCUGCCCCAGGAAGCACGAUCUGCUGGGUUAGGGUUCCAGUCCCUGAAAAUCCAUUCACUGCUCAACUGCUAAUACCCACAGCCCCAGGGCAGGAUUUGGCUUGGGAUAAUGAAACUCUCACUGUUCAGUGUCUAGCCCCAGGUCAGUCAUUAUCUCACACAGCAAGGGUACUUUGCAGGGCACUUGUCCAGCUCUGCCCUGCAGGCCUGAAUUACCAUUGGGGAAGUUCUAUUGCCCCAGGCUGAGCCCCGCACUGUGCUGAUUAGAGGCUGCCCAGGCUGUGCCCCCCUGCCGUGUGGGUUUGUAACUGCCCCCGCAAAAGCCUCAAACUGCAGGAUGUAGCUGCAGGGCUGUGUUUCAGUCUCCUGAGUCACUUCCGGGUUUGAGUAGCUACAGCCAGUGUUAGGUUCUGGCAUUUUUUAGAGUAUCCUCUGUUUUAGGCUUUAAUUUCUCUGCCAGUUUACUGCUUUGUAAUCAAGGGAGAGCAGUUAUCCUAUAGCAGAGUGGUCUCUAUAACUUCUCUAGCCACAGAGAUCACCCCCGCCCCUAGUCUGCUCAGGAUGCUAGCUUCUCCCUGCCUGUGCUGGUCUGUUUCUGGCCCCUCAGGACAAACCUUCCCUGGCAAUCUUCCACAUUGACUUCAGCAGGUAAGUUGUAUGCUUUUGAUCUUCAUGAAUUUAAGCAGUGAAGAGCUAUUUCUGAGGCUGGAUAAAAUAUAGUUGGUUAUGAGGGCAAUGAGAGGAGCUUAGACAGUCGUGUAUGCCUUCUCCACCAUCUUGGCUCCACCCCCUUAAGAAAUAGUCCCAUUUUAGAAAAAGAAAUAGAACAAGCUAUUAAUCAACACUCUAAAAAAAUAUCUUCAGGGCCAGGUGGAUUUACAUGUGAAUUCUACCAAACAUUUAAAGAAUGAUUUAACUGUAAUACUAUACAAAUGAGUUGAAAAAAUAGGGAAAGAAGGACUCCUACCAAAUUCCUUUUAUGUCACAGACAUGGUAGUAAUACUUAAACCAGAUGGGAUAAAAACAGAGAAAGAAAAUUAUAGACCAAUUUCCCUAAUGAACAUUGAUGCAAAAAUCUUAAAUAAAAUAUUAGUAAAGAGAUUACAGAAAGUCAUCCCAAACUAGGCUUUAUACAGAAAUGCAGAGCUGGCUCAAUAAUAGGACAAAUCUUAGCGUAAUUGAAUAUAUCAAUAACCAAACUAAGAAAAGCCAUAUGAUUAUCUCAAUAGAAGCAGAAAAAGUAUUUGAAAAAACCCAACAUUCAUUCCUAUUAAAAACAUAAGAGAGUUUAGGAAUAAAUGGACUUUUCCUUAAAAUAGCCAAUAGCAUCUAUUCAAAAUCAUCAGUAAGCAUUAUAUGUAAUGUGGAUUAACUGGAACCAUUCCCAAUAAGAUCACAAGUGAAACUAAGGUUGUCCAUUAUCACUAUUAGCAUUCAAUAUUGUAUUAGAAAUGCUGACUUUGGCAAUAAGAGAAAAAAAAAGAGAUUAAAGGAAUUAGAGUAGUUAAUGAGGAAACCAAAUUAUCACUCUUUGAAGAUGAUAUGAUGGUAUUUAGAGAACCCCAGAGAAUCACUUAAAAAUCUAUUAGAAGUUAUCCACAACUUUAGCAAAGUUGCAGGAUACAAAAUAAAUGCACAUAAAUCAUCAAUAUUUUUAUAUAUCACUAAGAAAAUCCAACAGCAAGAGUUACAAAGAGGAAUUCCAUUUAAAAUAACUGCUAAUAGUAUAAAAUAUUUGGGAAUUUAUCUGCUAAAGGAAAGCAAGGAACUAUAUGAGUAAAACUACAAAACACUUUCGACACAAUUAAAGUCAGAUCUAAACAAGUGCUCUUGGAUAGGUUGAGGGAAUAUAAUAAAGAUGACAAUACUACCUAAACUAAUCUAUUUAUUUAAUGCUAUACCAAUCAAACUCCUGAGAAACUACUUUACUGACCUAGGAAAAAUAACAACAAAAUUCACCUGGAAGAACAAAAGGCCAAGAAUUAUUCAAGAAAUAAUGAAAAAAAUUAAAAUGAAGGUGGCCUAGCUGUACCAGAUCUAAAACUAUAUUAUAAAGCAGCAGUCAUCAAAAGCAUUUAGUACUGCCUAAGGAAGAGAGUACUCAUUCAGUGAAAAAGGGUAGAUUCAUAGGACAAAAUAGUCAAUUACUAUAAUAAUCUAGUGUCUGCCAAACCCAAAGGAACCAGCAUUUGGGGUAAGAAUUCACUAUUUGACAAAAUCUUCUGGGAAAAUUGGAAACUGAUAUGGCAGAAAGUAGGCAUUGACCCAAAUCUAACACCAUAUACCAAGAUAACGUCAAAUGAGUUCACAAUCUAGAUAUAAAAAAUGAUAGUAUAAACAAAUUAGAAGAACAUAGGAUACUCUACCUCUCUGAUCUGUGGAGGAGGAAGGAUUUGAGAUCAAAGAAGAACUGGAGCUGAUUACUGAUCACAAAAUACAUAAUUUUGAUUAUAUUAAGUUAAAAAGUUUUUGUACAAACAAAACUAAUGCAGAGAAGAUUAGAAGGGAAGCAAUAAACUGGGAAAACAUUUUUACAUUCAAAGGCUCUGAUAAAGACCUCAUUUCUAAAAUAUAUAGAGAAUUGACUCAAAUUUAUAGGAACUCAGGGCAUUCUCCAAUUGAGAAAUGGUGAAAGGAUAUGAACAGACAAUUUUCAUAUGAAAAAAUUGAAACCAUUUCUAAUCAUAUGAAAAGGUACACCAAAUCAUUAUUGAUAAGAGAAAUGCAAAUUAAGACAACUCUGAGAUACCACUACAUAUCUCUCAGACUGGCUAAAAUGACAGGAAAAGAUAAUGAUGAAUAUUGGAGUGGAUCUGGGACUCUAAUACAUUUUUGGUGGAACUGUGAACAAAUCUAACCAUUUUGGAGAGCAAUUUGGAACUAUGCUCAAACAGUUAUCAAACUGUGCAUACCCUUUUAUCCAGCACUGGGAUUAUAUCCGAAAGAGACCUUAAAGGAGGAAAAGGGAUCCACAUGUACAAAAAUGUUUGUGGCAGCUAUUUUUGUAAUGGCAAGAAACUGGAAACUGAAUGGAUGUCCGUCAACUGGAGAAUAGCCAGAUAAAUUAUGGUAUAUGAAUGUUAUGAAAUAUUUCUGUUCUGUAAGAAACAACCAGCAGCAUGAUUUCAGAGAGGAGUGGAGGGAGUUACUUGAACUGAUGCUAAGUGAAAUAAGCAGAACCAGGAGAUCAUUAUAUACAACAAGAACAAUUAUGCAAUGAUCAAUGCUGAUGGACAUGGCUCUCUUCAACAAUGAGAUAAUUCCAACCAAUUCCAAUUGUUCAGACAUGAAGAGAAUCAUCUAC